rnacentral:ribozyme from 14 species
ACAGCAAAGGGACGCUGGAAGAACGAGGAGACUGCAUGGGGGCUCACAGUGAAACUCAUUGUAAACAUCUUUUUUUUUCCUACUUAUUUUUUUUCUUUUCA